UAUCCGGAUCAUUGGGUUUAAAGGGUGCGCAGGCGGGGAUGUAAGUCAGUGGUGAAAAACUGCCGCUUAACGGUAGUCUUGCCAAUGAUACUGCAUUUCUUGAGUAUGGAUGAGGUAGGCGGAAUGUGCAGUGUAGCGGUGAAAUGCAUAGAGAUUGCACAGAAGGCCGAUUGCGGAGGCAGCUUACUAAACCAUAACUGACGCUGAGGCACGAAAGCGUGGGGAGCGAACAGGAUUAGAUACCCUGGUAGUCCACGCUGUAAACUAUGUUCACUCGCUGUUUGCGAUAUACUGUAAGCGGCUUAGUGAAAGCAUUAAGUGAACCACCUGGGGAGUACGAUCGCAAGGUUGAAACUCAAAGGAAUUGACGGGGGCCCGCACAAGCGGAGGAACAUGUGGUUUAAUUCGAUGAUACGCGAGGAACCUUACCUGGGCUUAAAUGUAGGCUGCAUUUCCGGGAAACCGGGAUUUCCUUCGGGACUGCUUACAAGGUGCUGCAUGGUUGUCGUCAGCUCGUGCCGUGAGGUGUCGGGUUAAGUCCCAUAACGAGCGCAACCCUUACCGUUAGUUGCCAUCAGGUAAAGCUGGGGACUCUGGCGGGACUGCCACCGUAAGGUGAGAGGAAGGUGGGGAUGACGUCAAAUCAGCACGGCCCUUAUGUCCAGGGCUACACACGUGUUACAAUGGCCGGUACAGAGGGCAGCUACCCCGCGAGGGAUUGCCAAUCCCCAAAGCCGGUCUCAGUUCGGAUUGGAGUCUGCAAUUCGACUCCAUGAAGUUGGAUUCGCUAGUAAUCGCGCAUCAGCCAUGGCGCGGUGAUACGUUCCCGGGCAUUGUACACACCGCCCGUCAAACCAUGGGAGCUGGGGGUACCUGAAGUCUGUGA
rnacentral:rRNA from 1 species